UACGGAGGAUGCAAGCGUUAUCCGGAAUUAUUGGGCGUAAAGCGUCCGUAGGUGGCUAAUCAAGUCUGCUGUCAAAGCGUGGAGCUUAACUCCAUACCGGCGGUGGAAACUGAUGAGCUAGAGUGCGAUAGGGGUAGUAGGAAUUCCCAGUGUAGCGGUGAAAUGCGUAGAGAUUGGGAAGAACACCAGCGGCGAAGGCACUUUACUGGGCUAUUACUAACACUCAGAGACGAAAGCUAGGGUAGCAAAUGGG
rnacentral:rRNA from 1 species